rnacentral:rRNA from 1 species
GAAAGGGAUGCUAAUACCGCAUACGUCCUACGGGAGAAAGCAGGGGAUCUUCGGACCUUGCGCUAAUAGAUGAGCCUAAGUCGGAUUAGCUAGUUGGUGGGGUAAAGGCCUACCAAGGCGACGAUCUGUAGCGGGUCUGAGAGGAUGAUCCGCCACACUGGGACUGAGACACGGCCCAGACUCCUACGGGAGGCAGCCAGUGGGGAAUAUUGGACAAUGGGGGGAACCCUGAUCCAGCCAUGCCGCGUGUGUGAAGAAGGCCUUAUGGUUGUAAAGCACUUUAAGCGAGGAGGAGGCUACUUUAGUUAAUACCUAGAGAUAGUGGACGUUACUCGCAGAAUAAGCACCGGCUAACUCUGUGCCAGCAGCCGCGGUAAUACAGAGGGUGCGAGCGUUAAUCGGAUUUACUGGGCGUAAAGCGUGCGUAGGCGGCUUAUUAAGUCGGAUGUGAAAUCCCCGAGCUUAACUUGGGAAUUGCAUUCGAUACUGGUGAGCUAGAGUAUGGGAGAGGAUGGUAGAAUUCCAGGUGUAGCGGUGAAAUGCGUAGAGAUCUGGAGGAAUACCGAUGGCGAAGGCAGCCAUCUGGCCUAAUACUGACGCUGAGGUACGAAAGCAUGGGGAGCAAACAGGAUUAGAUACCCUGGUAGUCCAUGCCGUAAACGAUGUCUACUAGCCGUUGGGGCCUUUGAGGCUUUAGUGGCGCAGCUAACGCGAUAAGUAGACCGCCUGGGGAGUACGGUCGCAAGACUAAAACUCAAAUGAAUUGACGGGGGCCCGCACCAAGCGGUGGAGCAUGUGGUUUAAUUCGAUGCAACGCGAAGAACCUUACCUGGCCUUGACAUACUAGAAACUUUCCAGA